CGCACAUUGCGCCCCUUGGUAUUCCAUGGGGCAUGCCUGUUCGAGCGUCAUUUACCCCCUCAAGCUCUGCUUGGUGUUGGGCGUUUGUCCCGCCUUCGCGCGCGGACUCGCCCCAAAGACAUUGGCAGCGGUCGUGCCAGCUUCUCGCGCAGCAUACGCGCUACGGAGGCGGAUCGAUCAGCGUCCACGAAGCUCCUUCACCAGUUUGACCUCGGAUCAGGUAGGGAUACCCGCUGAACUUAA
rnacentral:misc_RNA from 1 species